AUGCAUCCCUAAUGGUUGGAGAGAUGGAGAAUGUCAUGGGAGAGAGAACGUGCAGAUCCUUGCCUGAGACAAGUUGUGGAAAGAAAGUUUUACAGUCCAUUUUGAAUCAAGGAAGACUCAUUGAAGACUCCAUUGAGAAGAGUCUACUUUGAAGAAGGCAAACAUAUCAAAAGGGUGAUAGAAACGUGCAGUUGUGUUGUGUGGGGAACAGUGUGAACUUCCUGAAGGCAAACAAACAAAAAGGAUGGGAGAAACAUGCAGUUCUGUUGCAUGUCUAACCACUGACCUUCCUGGACUCAACAUUGGGAACUGAGAAGGGAGUUUAGAAAUGAUGGAAUUUUGUGAGCUUUAAAGAAAAAAUGCUGGUCUUUAGUGUGGACAGAUAGUUGGACUUCAGAUCUAGGAUGAUGUGUAGUCAUCAGUCUUGAACAUUCAGAAACACUUCUUUGUUCUUUAUGGAUGAUGGUAGCUGGCUUUCGUUUCAACAGUGUUUCUAAGAUGAAUACACAUAAAUAGUGUCUGCCAAAACCUAAAACAUACAGUCUGUAUUUAUUACUAGAGCGUUGUAAUGUAUCCCUCUUGUAUUUAAAAAUUUUAUACUACUCAACCUUAAUUGUGACUUUUUGUCAAUAAAUAACCUUUCAAAAGAA